UGAAAUUCAUUUCUUAAAAAACAAAAACAAAAAAACUACAGUGAUUCCAGACAUUCGAAUAGUAUUUUAAUGCAAAUGCAUUUGUGCAAAUAAUUUGGGGGCCACUGUAUGUAAAAAGAUAACUUUUUGUUGUUAUAAAAAUAGUUUUAAGUAAAAAAAAAAAAUGUCAUUAAAAUUCAAAGAGUGGUAAAACAUUUUUUCAAAAUCUUUAAGACUAAAAAUGUAAUUUUUUGAUCUGAGAAUAGCUUUCUUAUGUGUCAUUUCCAUAUAUUAAGGGACUGCUACAGUAGCUAAAGUUUGUUGUUGGCAAGUCCAUGGCCCAUCUUUUUGUACAAAAACAAAAUGUCAUUAAAUGUCUCACACAAUAUCAAAUGUUCACUCCAUCACACAUUAUACAAAGCAUCUAGUUAUCAAAAGCAAAUCAAGACCAUAUUUCCAUCUUUAUUCCAGGAUUUGUGAUAUAUGUUUUGACAUUGUUUAAUUUUUUUUUUUUUUUUUUUUUUUCAAAUUUUCAUGAGGCCAAAUGUGCCCCUAAUUAAAACCCCAUGAAGAAAAUGUAUGUUUAUGAACAUUAAUGACCAGUGAAUUCAGGUUGACUGGGACACUUUUUGCCACUGAGAUGACUGGGAAAAAGUUUCCCGAUCAACCCGAAUACCAAAUAGCCUAAUGAAUGUUUGUGUAUCAAAAUAAAUUGUCCAUUUAUAUCAAUGAUCAUCAUUGUAUAUCCAGGUACACAAGUCACACAUGGUCAAGAGAACAGAUGGCAGAGAAUAACAAAAGGUUGCAAAAAUCUUUAUUAGGCCACUGAUUUUGGACAUUUCUUUCAUUUCCAGAGGGAUGACCCCGUUUUAAAUCUUCAUAAGUUGAGGUAACAUAGAAGAACAUAGCAUUGAAAUGCCAGCUGCAUGUUUUUAACAAUAUUUCAUUUAUUUAUUUUCCCUGUUAGGCUAUAUGAAAUCAGUAUAAUCUACUUCAACUCAUUCAGGUGUUCUGGGAUGCUUGGUUUUAUUGUGCAAUUGAAAAAUUAACCCUUGUGGUGUCAGUGUAUCUUUCUUUGUAACCAUGAAAAGACAAUAUAGUUUCAGCAAUAUUUUCAGCAUUUGUCACCAACCAGAAAACCAGAAUGUUAGUCUGAACAGGUAAGCUAACACAUGUAUAAUCACACCAGUUGUCAAUAGGUUACAAAAAUAUUAUGUCCACACAGACACAUUUAUAUAGGCCUAUCAGCUGUUACAUCGCAAGGUACAUAGGAAGAGCACAACGAGCUGAACUCAUUGUAGACGAUAGCAGAAGGUUGCUCUGCUGUUACACGAAGUGUCUGUCAUUCAGUUACAGACGUCUGCACAAAACGUGCAUACUAAUGAGAACUUUAUAAACUGUUACCUAGAAGUAAACAACUGUAGUUUAGGCGUAAGUCAGCCGCGACGCCGAGAAUAUAGUUACCUUUAUGGAAUAAUCCACUAAUGUCCUGAGAUAAAACGUGAACUAAAAUUCUCAGUUGCACGUGCAAUCGCGCAUGUCUGGGAAACUCAUUAAUAUUCAUGUCUGCUCCGCCUUCGGAAACCGAAAAUCUCGUAACACCACCGGCGAUUUCAAACUUUAUCACUAAGGGACGGACGGAGGCAGAAACCGUGUUACAGAGUGAACUAAAAAUGGCAAUGUUGAUUGCAUGUUCCCGGAUUCUGCCAUAGCUAGAAAAUACUCCUCUGGAAAGACUAAAACAACUCAGCUUCUUAAAGGUGCCAUUGCCCCAGAGCUUGAUGAUGAGGUCAAAAAAAUCUGCCAGACCCAGCCAUUUGGAUUACUUUGUGAUGAGUCAAACAACAUGCAGACAGAAAAAGAACUAGUUAUACAGGCAACAGUGUAUGAUGAGAACAGUCUUGAGGUUGUGACCAAAUUUAUUGACAUGCCAGUCUGCAAUGUGGGUACAGCAGAAAAUAUUUAUGAGAAGCUGGAAACCUCUUUGAGAAAUGGAGGAAUCCCAUGGGAUAACCUGGUGGCCUUCAACUCUGACAACUGCAGCGUGAUGAAAGGAAAGCACCAUUCAGUCAUCACCAAACUAAGAGCUAGUCAACCUUAUGUUCAGGAUGUGGGUUGCAUAUGCCACCUUGCCCAACUUGUCACAGGCUGUGGCAUGAAGGCCAUCAAGGCCCCAGUGGAGGAUUUACUGGGUGGUGUGUAUAGCCACUUCCACAAAAGGCAGAGCAAGUGAUGAUCCAUAAGCUACACAGUGAGAUGACAAGACUGGUCAAGAGAUACUUGGGCUACAUUGUUCCAGCUAGAUUAAUUGUGGAUAUUCCAAUCAGUGAAGUAUCAUAUGGACAUGAACACCAACUGGCGAAUGAGGAUCUCUUAAUUGGGGCUGAGGCCAGAGCAUUCCUUGAAAAUGAAGAACUGUCCUCCAUGUUAAUGAGCAAAAUAUAUCAGUAAGUUGUAACUUCAGUAAUAAUAACGCCUGCAUGCUUCAUUUGUCUUUCUUCAUGAUUCCUUGUUAAUAUGUGAUUCUGUCAUAAUUGUGCUCUUAGAUCUGUACAUUUAACUAUGAAGUAUUUAACCUAACUGAUAAUGUGUUGGAAAUCUGUCCAUACCACACAGUGACAAGGCUAGGUUGCAUGUUUCCACAACUGAGGCUUGACCCAGAUAAACUGAGAGAGGAGUUCACAGGCUACCAGGUCACAGACAGCAAGGAAUUAAUCCAGGAAGAGAGAGUGGACAGAUUCUGGGGCCUUGUAGGGAAAAGUGAGACUGAGACCAGGUUUAGUCAGCUGGCUAGUCUGAUGAAGGCACUAUUUUGCAUUCCUCAUAGUAAUGCCUCCUCAGAGAGAACCUUUUGCAUGGUCAGAAAGAUUGUAACAGAAAAUCGAAUGAGCAUGAAUAAUAGCACACUCUGUGCUCUCUUGUGCUGCAAAAUCAACUAUACAAAACCUGCACACAAGUACACUCCCUCCAGAGGGGUACUUAUAGCAGCAAAGUCUGCUACUUACAAUUAUAAUUCUGGAUGUAAGAAACGCUAGGAAACACCUUCAUGUUAAAUACAUGAAGUACAUUAAAUUUUUUGUUACAUGUUCCACAUGCACCACAGUGUUUCCUUUUAUGUAUUAUAAAUUUUGUUAUAAUAAAGAUAAAUA